ACACCCGCCUUGCACAUGUGUGCCCCCCACGCACACCCAUGGAUGUGCCCCCCCCAACCCCCCCCGAGCUCACCCCAUGCCUCACGGCGCUCGCAUGCUCGUCCCCCGUGCUUGCACACUUGCCCCCCCUGCUUGCACACUCGCCUGUCCCCCCCGGCACUGUCACGCCCGCGCACCCCGGCUGUGUCUCACAGGCACCGCUGGCACAUUCACUCACGCCCACACGCCCGGCACGCACACACGCACGCACACGCAUGCACACACACGCUUGCACACGCCGCCACACAACACGCUCACCUGCAGGCCCGCAGCUCACACACCCACACACGUCCGCAGCCGGCACCGCUCAGCCACACGCACUCGUGCACCGUCGCACUCUCAGGUGCUGUUGCACACUCAUGUGCUGUCACACAUUCACAUGCCAUCACACACGUGUGCACCAUUGCACACUCACACACUGCCACACUCGCACACCAUCGCAGUUACUCACCAUCACACGCUCAUGCACCAUCGCACACUCUCACACUGUCGCACACCUACAGCGUCACUCACAUUUAGCCACCGACCUGCACACGCUCUAACACUCACACUCACGUUCACACCCAGCCUCACACCUCACACUCGCCCUCAUUCACAAGCCUGUACCCGCACACACUUGUCCACACCCCCCUCACACACUCACAGCCCCUCACAGUCCCACUCAGUCGCUCACCCUCACACUCACUCACACCCAUCCUUACACACUCACCCUCACCCGCACACACACUCACCCCCUCGCUCACUCUCACACUCACUCACAUUCACACUCACUCACCCCCAUACAUGCACAUCCUCACCCUCACACCCCUCACUCACUCUCACCCUCCCUCACUCACCCCCUUACACACUCACACUUACUGUCACACCUCACACCCACGCACACCCACACCCCCUCAUUCUCACACUCACCCUCCCUCUCACACCCCUCACACCCGCCCUCACCCCGUCACUCACACCCACCCUCCCUCUCACCCUCACUGUCACUUGCACACUCACCCCCACUCACCCCUUACUCACUCCCACCCUCACCCCGCACCCUCACUCACGCUCACCCCCACACUCAUACACUUAUCCUGUCACCCUCACGCUCACGCUCACCCAACACCCUUGCACACCCCCUUGCUCAACCCCCCUCCCUCCCACACUCACUCCCACUCCCGCCACGACCUCACACUCGUCCCGUACGCUCACUCCCACUCCCCCCCACCCACUCGCGCCCUCACCCCCACCCUUACCCUCACUCACACCCACACCCAGCCUCACUGCCCCCACACUCACACUCACAGUCACACACACCCUCACUCCCCCNNNNNNNNNNNNNNNNNNNNNNNNNNNNNNNNNNNNNNNNNNNNNNNNNNNNNNNNNNNNNNNNN
rnacentral:lncRNA from 1 species